UAUCUGAACCUUCGGGGGAACGAUAACGGCGUCGAGCGGCGGACGGGUGAGUAAUGCCUAGGAAAUUGCCCUGAUGUGGGGGAUAACCAUUGGAAACGAUGGCUAAUACCGCAUGAUGCCUACGGGCCAAAGAGGGGGACCUUCGGGCCUCUCGCGUCAGGAUAUGCCUAGGUGGGAUUAGCUAGUUGGUGAGGUAAGGGCUCACCAAGGCGACGAUCCCUAGCUGGUCUGAGAGGAUGAUCAGCCACACUGGAACUGAGACACGGUCCAGACUCCUACGGGAGGCAGCAGUGGGGAAUAUUGCACAAUGGGCGCAAGCCUGAUGCAGCCAUGCCGCGUGUGUGAAGAAGGCCUUCGGGUUGUAAAGCACUUUCAGUCGUGAGGAAGGUAGUGUAGUUAAUAGCUGCAUUAUUUGACGUUAGCGACAGAAGAAGCACCGGCUAACUCCGUGCCAGCAGCCGCGGUAAUACGGAGGGUGCGAGCGUUAAUCGGAAUUACUGGGCGUAAAGCGCAUGCAGGUGGUUUGUUAAGUCAGAUGUGAAAGCCCGGGGCUCAACCUCGGAAUAGCAUUUGAAACUGGCAGACUAGAGUACUGUAGAGGGGGGUAGAAUUUCAGGUGUAGCGGUGAAAUGCGUAGAGAUCUGAAGGAAUACCGGUGGC
rnacentral:rRNA from 1 species